CUUCUAAGUAUAGUGACAGUGCAUCAGGCUUUCCUAGUCUCAGCGCAAGCUCAGUGAAAAUCUGGGAAAUGUAAGUGGAAACAUGAGAGACCGCUUUAUUUGGCAGUGCUUACCCCCCCUCAAAAAAAAAAAAGUGGGGGGCAGGACAAAUGGCUAAGCAGUGUUUGGACCGCAGGAUGAACAAUCAAUAGGCAGAAAGCAAGAUUGAGGCUUCCUCAGCUUUUGGAUCGACAAUCGACAGCUGAGAGGCUAUUUUUUGCUAUGGUUGACUAAAUAUGGUCAGGGAAGAGAGAGGCACAAGAGAGCCUGUUUGCCUGGGAGUGCAUGUUUCAAAUGCUUAGCUGCCUAUAAAGCUGUAACAGUUUAGCCAGUGGUCACUGAGGAAGAAUAUAAGUUAGCCUCGUAGUGACCAUGUGGAAGUCCUGACCUCGCUUGCAGACUUGACCUCUGGAUGUGACAAGGUAGCUUCACUACAGCUCUACUAUUUAAUCCUGGAAACUAAAAACCAAAAAAAAAAAAAAAAAAAAUCUAAAAGCAAGAAAGAUGCAGACUAUUUCCUAAGAAGUCAGAAGAACCCAAUGUAUUCUGGAGGGCAAAGAAAAACAGGGUGAGGUUCUGUGUUCACUGAUACAUCCCCUUCCUUCACCGGGCUCAUGAAAAGAAAUGCUGAAUCAGCAAAUAGAGUGAACGAACAAUCAAGAUGAGAUGGCUGCUGUUGAUGUGAUUCUCUAGGUUACUACCUUUCUUCCUGCUGCAAAUGCUGCAUGACACUAAGCUUACAGGAUCUAGAAGCAGACUACAAAAAAAGAAGAAAUUCACUCUGAAGACUGAAGAAACACUAGGCUGAUCUUAAGUUUCCGAAAUACACUCUGUAACACUACACUGAUUCUUUGAAUCUCUUGCAAAAAGAAUCAAACCAGGACAAAGUUCAACAGAUAACUGGUCAAAUGCUUAGGAAUGUCUAUGUCCACCAAGAAUAUGGAACCAUUAAUGCCAUGCUUCAGGUAAACUUGUUACAAAAUUUAGUCUUCGAUAAAUUAGUCUCUGCAAAUGAUUUACCAUUGCUCUACAUUAGUAAGCUGAAUGUUUCACUAACAAAUAAGAAAAUAAAAUAUUUCAUGUUUUUACAGCUAACAACUUAGUAAUACCUACUCAGAGUACAUACUUCUUUAUGUACCCAUAUGAACAUACAAUGCUAUGGAAUGUAAAGAAGUAUGUAUUUUUGGUAGGCAAUAAACCACCAAGGGAGAAUUAAACUGAGCUAAAAGAAGCUCUUGCUUCUUUCUACGUGAAUGACCGUCAUAUGGUAAAUUAACCUAGUCAUGAACAGAUGACCUUUGGCAAUACUAACACCAAAAAAAAAAGGUUAUCUACUACUGAUAGAUAGAAACUAUCCCUAAGGUUUUUAUUUCAUGAAGGAAAAGAAGAUCCAGUGAAGUAGAUUUCAAUUAUCAUGAAACUCCUUUUAAAUCAUCUAAGUUUAAAACAGACAUCUUACAUUUUUAAAUUAGGCACUCUCAUUAUUAAAAUUUGACUGCAAAAGGGAAAAUAGUAUUACUAGCACAAAAGAAUGAGGAAUACACAUGACCUAUUUUCUGUCUCCACAAUUUAAUCUUAAGUAUAUCUCAUUAGUAGGGCUCACUGAUUUGUACAGAAAAAUAAGAUACUAAGAGCUGGCUUCAUUCACAUAAUAAGCUAUUUCUUCUCAUUUUGAUAAAUGUAUAAUUAAUAUUAGAGGAAUUUCUGACCAAAAGUUUUGUUGUUUUAAAAAGGCUUUCUUUUUUGACAGCUACAAACAUAGUGGCCCUUGUCCUUCCUUCUCAAGUUUAUCAGGGUCUUAACCCAAAUCUCUACUUUAAAUGUGAAGUUAAAACUUAAAAUUAAUUAAAAUGUAAGAUUUAAGCAUGAAAAAUGACAAAAUUCUGGUCCACAGCUGUAAGUCAGCAGGGUAUAUUGGUAACAGACUACCAAAUAUUUAAAAGAAAUUAAUUUAUCUGUAUUAUCUUCGAAUUUGCUUUCUCCAAAGAGGGCAUGUAAAAUGAAAGCACUAUAGUCAAGAACCAAUUUAUACAGAUCGAAGAACUGUUUUUAUUGUACUAUGCAAUUACAAUUCAAUUUCUCUAAACUUGAUCAAUCCAUUGUUUAGAAAUAUCAAAAUACUUUUAUUUCACACAGUUUGUAUAUUAUUUAUAAAAAAUUCCAAAUAAUGCUCUUAGCAAAAUUUAUAAGCAGUACCUGUUUUAAGCUACUAAUGACAAAGUUAGAAAAUAAGAGUAAUAUUCACAUAUUCUAACCAUUUCUUACUAAAAGUAUUAUUUCAACUGAAAUAUUUACACAUGUAUAAAAGCAUAAUAUUUUAAAUUUUUUGUAUCAGAAAUUGAAUGGAAAUGACUAAGUUUAACUAUAGUUCAUUUUCUGUUUAAUAAGACUAGUUAAUACAAAGAUGAUUUUCAUUUUAUCAGAUUAUAAAGAAUGAGAAUGACUUACACAUGGCAUCAUAUGUGUUACUGCAUGUUUACUGGAAAUUAUAAAAGGCACAUAAUUUUAAAAUUCUACACUUUCAAAGAAAUUAGUUCAAAGCUUAACUCACAUAAGCAUAGCCCUUCUGAUCAUCCACAAAACAGAAUGGCAAUGAUUCAUGUUCUAUUUGGUAAGUUUACCUGUAUAGGUCCUAAAUACCAAGAACUCAAAAUAUAUACCUCAAAAGUAGAGGUUCUUCUAUAAAAAUACUCAAAGCUUAUUACUCUACUUGUGUUUUAUAAUAAACAGUUAUAUUGGUCAUUCUAUAGGUAUACAAGUUGUUUAAUAAUCCUUCUCAAACAUCCUAGCAACUAAGACUCUCUUUGCUAUAAUAUUAAGACUAUAUAAAUAAUCCUUAGAAAAUAAAAUGACAGGCUAUUCAUUUUUAAAAGUAAAAUUAUAUGCUGAUUCUGGUGCUUGCGAGUUUAACUUAUCUAAGAGUAUUUUCAAUCACUCUAAAAUGUCACAUCUAUCACUUAGAUCAGCUGUUCAUUUUUAACUGAGUACAUAUUAAACUCUGGGCAUCUGCUGACACUGGUAUAACUCAAACAUUUCAACUGUCUCCCUGACAGGGAUAACAGAUGCUGACAUUAUCAAAUGCUGUACUAUUUUUUUCCCAUGGCCUCUCCUUGCCCCGAUAUGGCCAGUAUAUGAAACUGAACUGCCAUCCAAAAACACACUUGAGCAACUGGAUCUGCUAAACAGCUCCCAUAUAACUAGUAAAAAUAGAAGCCAGUAUUAUUGCUAUCUUCAGCACUUAAGUUUAGGCAGUUUAACACCUGUUUCACUUCUACUAGAAAAAAUGAUGAAAAAGAAUUGUAGUUAAUUUCACCAGCAGUAUGAUACUUACCAACCAACAGACGCAGAAUAUACUUAGUGUAAGAGUCAUUUGCAUACUGCCUGAAUUAGCGUUGACCUCUCAGUUUAAAAUAGUAACUGUAAAGAAUAUUUCUCUACUCUAUAUUUCUCUGAGAGCACUUAACUUUAUAGGCAAAUUAUAAUUUAUCAAACUUUUAUUUUAUGCAAGAAGACACCCCUCUCAAGACAUUGAAAUCAACAGUAAAACCACAUUAUAACAAAAAUUUACUCUGAUUUUUCAAGUAUUAUCCACACAAUAGAUUUUAAUACUUGUAUCCAUGGAUUGUAACUAACCACCAUGUAUUACUAAGGCGAUAAUGAGAAGUAACUUGGCAAUCUGUACCCAAAAUGACAAAGAACUUAGUCAAGGAAAUAGACCUUUAAAAGGGUUAAAUUACUAAGCUAUGAUUAGUAACACCACGUAAGCAAAAACAAAGAAAAACUGGCAUGCAUGGUAGUUCCUUUCGACACAAGUCCAAGCAAUACACUGAAUACACAUGUGAUCUAUUUAUAAAUCAAAGGGCAGAGGUACUUUCUUAAGGCCACUGAUAUUCCUACACCCAUCAACAAUUUGCUAUUAGCCCUCAACUAUAAUGCUAAAAGAAGCAGUGGCAGUAGAAGGGGGUGACUAACUGAACUCUUCCCCAACCUUUUAGCUUAACUAUUUAUCUGGUUUGCUGCCUAGAGAUAAAUGGAAAACAUUACUCUAAAAUACAUCAAGGUCUAUUUGUUCCUUUAAAUACUAUUGGUUUUGAAAUAGCUUAUUGUCUACAUGUAAGAAUUAAGCAAAGACUUCGGCUGUGGACAAGAUUAGAAAAAGAAAAAGAAGCAAAGAUGUUGAAAACAAAGACGUACAUUGAUCAUUCCUUAAUGCAGUAAUGUGUUAAAAGGAAAAGAUUUUUAAACCAUUAAGCGCAGGAAAACAGUAGGAAAGUGACUUCAAAAUGGAAAAUUUGACAUUCAGUGACUGAAGCAUUGGUAUGAUAAUUUCUAACACUUGUAGAAGGUCCAUGACUGUAAUUUUACCAAUGAAAAGCAUUUAACUGUUUUGGAUUCCAAACUAGCAGCACUACAAUGCUUUGCUAGAGCUGGUAAAAUGGAACCAAAUCGCCUCUUCAAUGGAUUUGGUCCCCUUCAACCAGCUGUAGCUAUGCAUUGAUUACUACGGGACAACCAACGUUUUCAUUUGUGAAUAUCAAUUACUUGCCAACUAAUUUCAACUUAUUUACAUUAUGCAGACUGUGAUUAUAAUCAAAUAACUUGUUACUGUUAAUUCUACCUGGAAAAGCUAGAAUGGUUAAAGAUGUUUAUAAAAAGCUUUAUGAAAAAUGUAUGGAUGACUUAAGGAUUUCAAAUAAAAAUUUUACUUAUUAUGGUCUCUUGGUAUUAAAUUUCUUAUCCUUCAGAAAAGAAAAGAACUGGUAAUAAAAUGUAGGCUAUGCUUCAUAAUAACAACAACAACAAAAACUUCCUUCAAAGGAAGAAAAUAUCUGGAAAGGUCACCUAAAACCCACCUGAACACAUAAUGGGAUUGUACAGUGUGGUUUACAUGGAUGUGUGCAUAUUUAAAUUAAAGAAAACUGUAACAUUAUAUAACACUCUAGAAAUGUUUAGUCACUAUCUUCCAUAGUAUUGGCCUUUAAUUUUACCGCUAUUUACCUGAAUGUUAGCAGGUAAGGUGAAAAAGAUGAUAACUGUAGAAUAUCUUGUGGAGAGGCUUAAAACAGUUAUCUAGUUCUUCUGACCCUGAAUCAAAGGUUUUUAGUCUUCAAAAAAGAAAGAAAAUGCUAAGCAUCACUACUUUUACUCAUGAAAUAUUUCACCUCUCCAUAUUUGUUUUCACAGCUGUAAAAUGAAGAACUCUGCUAACAAUAAAUACUAUG
rnacentral:lncRNA from 1 species